ACAAGUACCGUGAGGGAAAGUUGAAAAGUACUUUGAAAAGAGAGUGCAAGAGAACGUGAAACCGGAGUAAUGGAAGCGAAUGGAGCUAACGUAUCUAGUGCGUAUUCAGCUGUUGAUAAUGUUGAUCGCGGGUGUGAGUAUUCUGCAAAGUUGCUCUGCUUGUGUUGUUGGCGUUGUUGGCGGUGCAUUUGCGUACAGAGUGCGCCGGGUUGUUCGAUGUUGUCGUACGAAGCGAGUAAAGAGGACGCGAGUUUCGGCUUGUGAAACCUUUUCGCGUCUAGUUCGGUUAGCGUUGGAUAAUUUUGUGGAGUUGUCGGUUCAUACGUGCUUGGCGUUGUCGAUGGUUUUGGUUUAAGGUGUACACAUGUGUGCGCUCUUUACUGAGGUCAACGAUGGUGUCGAGUGCUCGGCAUUCUUCCCGGUGUAUAGUUGGUGACCUAUUCGACCCGUCUUGAAACACGGACCAAGGAGUUUAUGGUAUACGCGAGUCAUUGGGCUUUAAACCCAAAGGCGAAAUGAAAGUGAGACGGUACCCGUCUUAAUGUGAGCAAGCGUUUCGGCGUUUGUGCAACAUUGCCCCGUUUCGAAGAUUUAUCUUGUUGCGGAGGUUGAGCGUAUGCCAUGAGACCCGAAAGAUGGUGAACUAUGCCUGAGCAGGAUGAAGCCAGAGGAAACUCUGGUGGAAGUCCGAAGCGGUUCUGACGUGCAAAUCGAUCGUCUGACUUGGGUAUAGGGGCGCAAGACUAAUCGAACCAUCUAGUAGCUGGUUCCUUCCGA
rnacentral:rRNA from 1 species